GGAAGGAUGCCGGAGUGGUUGAACGGGGCGGUCUCGAAAACCGUUGAUCUCUUUUAGGGAUCCGAGAGUUCGAAUCUCUCUCCUUCCG
rnacentral:tRNA from 1 species